AAUGAACGCUAGCGGCAGGCUUAACACAUGCAAGUCGAGGGGUAUAGUUCUUCGGAACUAGAGACCGGCGCACGGGUGCGUAACGCGUAUGCAAUCUACCUUUUGCAGAGGGAUAGCCCAGAGAAAUUUGGAUUAAUACCUCAUAGUAUGUGAGAAUGGCAUCAUUUUCACAUUAAAGUCACAACGGCAAAAGAUGAGCAUGCGUCCCAUUAGCUUGUUGGUAAGGUAACGGCUUACCAAGGCAACGAUGGGUAGGGGUCCUGAGAGGGAGAUCCCCCACACUGGUACUGAGACACGGACCAGACUCCUACGGGAGGCAGCAGUGAGGAAUAUUGGACAAUGGGCGCAAGCCUGAUCCAGCCAUGCCGCGUGCAGGAUGACGGUCCUAUGGAUUGUAAACUGCUUUUGUACAGGAAGAAACACUGGUUCGUGAACCAGCUUGACGGUACUGUAAGAAUAAGGAUCGGCUAACUCCGUGCCAGCAGCCGACC
rnacentral:rRNA from 1 species